rnacentral:rRNA from 1 species
UACAGAGGGUGCGAGCGUUGUUCGGAAUUAUUGGGCGUAAAGCGCUUGUAGGCGGCACGUCAAGUCGCGUGUGAAAUCCCCCAGGCUUAACCUGGGAAGUGCGCGCGAAACUGACGAGCUUGAGUGCCGGAGAGGGUCGCGGAAUUCCCGGUGUAGAGGUGAAAUUCGUAGAUAUCGGGAGGAACACCAGUGGCGAAGGCGGCGACCUGGACGGACACUGACGCUGAGACGCGAAAAGCGUGGGGAGCAAACAGGG